rnacentral:rRNA from 1 species
AGGAUGAACGCUGGCGGCGUGCCUAACACAUGCAAGUCGAACGAUCCUUUCGGGGAUAGUGGCGCACGGGUGAGUAACACGUAGCUGAUCUGCCGUCGAGGAUGGGAUAACGCCCCGAAAGGGGUGCUAAUACCGUAUAAGCUCACGAGCUUUAGAGGCUUGGGAGAAAAGGGGCAACCCGCUUGACGAGGAGGCUGCGGCCCAUCAGGUAGUUGGUGUGGUAACGGCGCACCAAGCCAACGACGGGUAGGGGGUCUGAGAGGAUGGUCCCCCACACUGGAACUGAGACACGGUCCAGACUCCACGGGAGCAGCAGUGAGGGAUAUUGGUCAAUGGGCGAAAGCCUGAACCAGCGACGCCGCGUGGGUGAAGAAGGUCUGGAUCGUAAGCCCUUUUCAGGUGACGAGCAAGGCGUAGCCGUGGGAAUAAGUCUCGGCUAACUACGUGCCAGCAAGCCGAC